CAUGCAAGUCGAACGCGAAAGCUCCCUUCGGGGAGCAAGUAGAGUGGCGCACGGGUGAGUAACACGUAGGUAAUCUACCUUUGGAUUGGGAAUAACAACCGGAAACGGUUGCUAAUACCGAAUAAUGCAGCGGCACCUAAUGGUGACAGUUGUUAAAGCGGGGGAUCGCAAGACCUCGCGUCUGAAGAGGAGCCUGCGGCGGAUUAGCUAGUUGGUAAGGUAACGGCUUACCAAGGCGAUGAUCCGUAGCCGGCCUGAGAGGGCGGUCGGCCACACUGACACUGACAUACGGGUCAGACUCCUACGGGAGGCAGCAGUCGGGAAUUUUGGGCAAUGGGCGAAAGCCUGACCCAGCAACGCCGCGUGAAGGAUGAAAUCCUUCGGGAUGUAAACUUCGCAAGAACGGGAAGAAUAAGUAAGAGUUAACAUCUCUUAUGAUGACGGUACUGUUUGUAAGCUCCGGCUAACUCCGUGCCAGCAGCCGCGGUAAUACGGGGGGAGCAAGCGUUGUUCGGAUUUACUGGGCGUAAAGGGCGCGUAGGCGGCCACCGCAAGUCGACUGUGAAAUCUCCGGGCUUAACCCGGAAAGGUCAGCCGAUACUGCGGGGCUAGAGUGCAGAAAGGGGCAACUGGAAUUCUCGGUGUAGCGGUGAAAUGCGUAGAUAUCGAGAGGAACACCUGCGGCGAANGCGGGUUGCUGGGCUGACACUGACGCUGA
rnacentral:rRNA from 1 species